UUUGAAAGAGUGAUGAAGAUGAAAAUGCUUGGGAUGAUUGUUUUACCAUAAAAAAGAGUUUCAUCUGUAAUUUAUAUAUGUUUUUUGCAUUUGUAAAAUCAAAAGUAAAUAUUUAUAUUAGAAAAAAAUAUGUAGAUAUUUAAAUUGCAAGAAUAAUAACCAGAAAAGUUGGGUGGCCACUCCUCAAGAAGGCUAUAGAUCACCAAUUUAAAAGGAAUUAAUCCCUAAUUGGCAAGUAACUUAUACUGGUAAGCUAACUGUUUUAAAUUUUAUUUGAAGUAUUACUAUGCUCUUCUUACUAUUAAGCUUCUUUGAUUGUAUCAAGAAAACAUGAUAUAAUUAAACACGUUUUUUCAUGUGUACCUUUAUAUAAACCGAAAUAUACUACUACUAUAAAAUUUCUAAAUUUACUAUAAAACUGAGGGUGAAUGAGUCUAUACUUAUAUAAAUUUAUUGUUUUUUAUAAGUGUGUUCAAAGCUUAAUGAAUCAAAGAUCAAGGACAAAAGAAGUAAUUAGAUUUUGUCUGAUGGUUUAUGUGCAUGUAUGAUAGUAAUAUGAUAAUCAAUUAAUGUGAUAAGACUCUUUGGGGUGCAAAAAGAGAAGGAUAUACAUUAUGUGAAUUUAAUUUUAUCAUACCGUCAACAAUGUAUGGUUGUAAUGAUAAGAUUAUGCUACGAGUAGUCAAAGAAAUGUGUUUAUUCUUGACAAACAGAAGGGCUAUAGCGUGUAAAUCCGUAAACAUUUAACUUUAGGUGCAAACCGUAAUCUUGUUUUUUCCACAAUGUAAUCCAAACAGCCGAAAGGCAAUCUUUAGGAAGAAGUCAAAGUGCAUGUAUUAGUUCAAAAUGUUCUAUGCUAGCUUUAUGUAUAUUCAUCCAUACGAACUACUAAUAGCAAGGUGGUUUUAAAUUCUCACUAUGUGACGAGAGGACGAGGCAGUGGUACUGAUGAACGACAUUUGCAGCAUCCAAAUUCAAAACGACUCUCAUCGAUGACGCCAAUGUUUUGAUCUCAAGUUCAUAACAUUACGUUUUUAAGAUAUUGUUCAUUUUAAGUCUCGUGUGAGUACUCAUACUUUUAUCAUGUGUAAAAGGUGUUUCGUUUGGAUGAGAAUUGUAAAUGUUGUUUAUAAACUAUUCUUAGCAUUGAUUUUAUGUAAUGUAAACUGCAAUUUAAUAAUUUAGAUAUGAUUCCCUAAAAAAAAUAUAUAUGAUUAAAAACGAGCAUAAUGUAUGUGUAUUGUUAGCUUUACAAUUUGUAUCUUCUCUCCUUUAUUUCAAAAAAAAAAAAUGUAUCUUCUCUCCUUAAAAAAAUUGUAUCG
rnacentral:lncRNA from 1 species